rnacentral:rRNA from 1 species
UACGGAGGAGGCAAGCGUUAUCCGGAAUUAUUGGGCGUAAAGCGCGCGCAGGCGGUCCUUUAAGUCUGAUGUGAAAGCCCACGGCUCAACCGUGGAGGGUCAUUGGAAACUGGGGGACUUGAGUGCAGAAGAGGAGAGUGGAAUUCCACGUGUAGCGGUGAAAUGCGUAGAGAUGUGGAGGAACACCAGUGGCGAAGGCGACUCUCUGGUCUGUAACUGACGCUGAGGCGCGAAAGCGUGGGGAGCGAACAGG